CAGUCGCCGCGGGAAUACAGAGGAUGCAAGCGUUAUCCGGAAUGAUUGGGCGUAAAGCGUGCGCAGGCGGUUAUAUAAGUCAGAUGUGAAAUCCCCGGGCUCAACCUGGGAACUGCAUUUGAGACUGUAUGGCUAGAGUGUGUCAGAGGGGGGUGGAAUUCCACGUGUAGCAGUGAAAUGCGUAGAGAUGUGGAGGAACACCGAUGGCGAAGGCAGCCCCCUGGGCCAAUACUGACGCUCAUGCACGAAAGCGUGGGGAGCAAACAGGAUUAGAUACCCCCGUAGUCCCUGUCUCUUAUAU
rnacentral:rRNA from 1 species